AUGGAAACUGAGCAGCCAGAAGAAACUCUCCCCACCACUGAAAUACAUGGUGAAUUUGUUAAAGGCCCUGCAGAAGAUAUGGCAGAGGAGCAAGCAUUAAAAGCUCUAGAAACACUGAUGGAGAUGUAGAAUUGUAUAUCUUGCUUCAGUGCAAGAAUACUGGGGAAGUGAUUGGAAAAGGAGGCAGGAAUCUUAAAGCUCUGACAAUGACCUUUGAUGGCCACUGUAGAUAGUCCAUGGCAUUUCCCAUGCAGGAAAGAGAUAAUUUUGAUGGAAUGCCUCCUGGUUGAGGUGACUGUCCCAUGUUUCCUUCAAGAAGAGAUUAUGGUUGAGGUGGCUGGGGCAGGAACAGAGCUUGGAAUCUUCCUCUUCUUUCACCACCAUCAGAGGAGAUCUAAUGGCUUAUGGCAGAAGAGGAAGGCCUUGAGACCACUAUGACAGCAUGGUUGGUUCAGUGCUGAUGAAAUUUAGGACUGCAACAGAUACAGGGAGCCCAUCAGAAUGGCAGAUGGCUUAUAUGUGACAGGGUGGGUCUCGAUAUGUUUAUUGCUAUGCAGGGAUUUCUUUGUGGCUCAUAUGGUGAUUUUGGUGGAGCUAUUAUUAUUACUACACAAAUAACUACUUCCAAAGAUUUGGCCAGAUCUAUUAUUGACAAAUGUGGUCAGUGGAUUUAACAAAUCUGUCAUGAGUCAUGAGCGUCAAUCAAAAUUGAUGAGCCUUGGUCCAAAAAUUGGAUCCUUACCAUUGCUGGAACAUAGGAACACAUACAAAACACAUACUUUCAGUAUUUCCUGCAGACCAGCAUGGUGCAGUAUACAGAUGUUGAGUUUUUUUUUUUUAAUAGUGUGAAGAAGUAUUCUGAAAGGCUCUUC
rnacentral:lncRNA from 1 species